UACGUAGGGUGCAAGCGUUGUCCGGAAUUAUUGGGCGUAAAGAGCUCGUAGGCGGUUUGUCGCGUCUGCUGUGAAAACUCGGGGCUUAACUCCGGGCCUGCAGUGGGUACGGGCAGACUAGAGUGCGGUAGGGGAGACUGGAAUUCCCGGUGUAGCGGUGAAAUGCGCAGAUAUCAGGAGGAACACCGGUGGCGAAGGCGGAUCUCUGGGCCAUUACUGACGCUGAGGAGCGAAAGCGUGGGGAGCGAACAGG
rnacentral:rRNA from 1 species